AUUGAACGCUGGCGGCAUGCCUUACACAUGCAAGUCGAACGGCAGCACGGGAGCAAUCCUGGUGGCGAGUGGCGAACGGGUGAGUAAAGCAUCGGAACGUGCCCUGGAAUGGGGGAUAACGUAGCGAAAGUUACGCUAAUACCGCAUAUUCUGUGAGCAGGAAAGCAGGGGAUCUUCGGACCUUGCGUUUCAGGAGCGGCCGAUGUCGGAUUAGCUAGUUGGUGGGGUAAAGGCCUACCAAGGCGACGAUCCGUAGCGGGUCUGAGAGGAUGAUCCGCCACACUGGAACUGAGACACGGUCCAGACUCCUACGGGAGGCAGCAGUGGGGAAUAUUGGGCAAUGGGCGCAAGCCUGACCCAGCAACGCCGCGUGAGGGAAGAAGGCUUUCGGGUUGUAAACCUCUGUCCUUGGUGACGAAAAAAUGACGGUAGCCAAGGAGGAAGCCCCGGCUAACUACGUGCCAGCAGCCGACGGUAAAAUAGACGUACU
rnacentral:rRNA from 1 species